rnacentral:tRNA from 1 species
GGUACAAUGGUGUAAAUGGAAUCACAAGCGAGUGCUAAUCGUUCUAGCUUUUUGAGCUAUUCAGGUUCGAAUCCUGAUUGUACCGC